rnacentral:lncRNA from 1 species
UCAGGAUUCAGCUUUGGAUCAAAUAACUCGUCUGUCCAGGGUUUUGGUGGCUGGCGAAGCUGAGGGCAUGUCAGCAGGCCUUUCGAUCCCUGGGACCAACCGCAUCCUCACCUUCUUCCCCGAGAAAUGCUGGAGCAGGCUGUUCAGACCGACGUUGCCAUCAAAACACAUACACCCAGAAAGAAACAACAGAAACCAAAACUCACGAGACGCAUGAUUACUUGUUUUAUAUUUCAUGUUGGGUUUUCCCUGCCACUAUUAAACUGUCUGUUUCCGUACAGAACGUAUGUGGGUUUUUUCAGAUCACAGCCAAGAAGAUUGCCCCGUUUCUGUGGCUCUGAGAAGCCAGCAGAGCCUCCAUCAGCCAGAACACUGUGUCUUCAAGGAUGGCAUCAGAAGUCACCAGCGUCGGGUGUUGAUAAACAGCAUCGAAUGUGCCGUGGUCUCACUUGGACCUAGCGCCCUCCACAUAGGGAAGAGGUUGCAUGCUGGUGGGUCAUCUUUUUGAGGCCGAAACUUGGUUAUCUCCUCUCCAUGUUCUUUUUGCCAUUGUGUAUCAGGACCAUCCAAGGACGCACUCUGCAAUUGAGUGGAGGCAGAGGAAGCCACUCAUGCCAGCAGCAGUUGAGUUUCAGAAGCAGCCAUAGCGCUUUUCAGUACAGUACAAUAGUAGCCAGCAUGAGGCAGGACAGUGCUGCGCCUUAGCCGGCCUUGUCCCCUCAUCUCCAUGUGGCUCUUGGGUGCCGUGUGUCCUACUCCAGAGAGGAGGGGGCCAGUUACUUGAGAAGACAGCCUUUAUAUUCUGUAUGUGGCAGUGACAUUGGUAGCCACACCUACCCAGUGUCUACUAACCACAGUGCAGAUAGCCCUUGGGUAGACCCAGGAAGUGUGAAGACACUGCUGUUGCCAGACAACACUAGCAGAACGAUGCUGGAUUUGACAACAGUGUUUGCUAGGACGGCCCAGAGCUCAUCACUGCAGUUUUAUUAGAGUGCUUCUUUAUCUUUAAUGCAGUAUCUUUGAGGCCUGUAACAUCCUAGAUAGUUGCCAUCAAACAAGGACCGUCUCGCAUUGAAAACAGAUGUAAGAAUUUCUCUUUCAGGCCCAGAAUCUGACUGCUUUGGCUUGGGUCAUGAGCAGCGGGGAGUUGGGAAGAGAUUUUUUUUUUUUAGAGUUUUACAUAUUGGCAGGUUGUAUUUUUUUAAUGUUUUAAUAAAAGUUUG